CCUACGGGUGGCUGCAGUGGGGAAUAUUGGACAAUGGGGGCAACCCUGAUCCAGCCAUGCCGCGUGUGUGAAGAGGCCCUCGGGUUGUAAAGCACUUUCAGUGAGGAAGAACGCCUGGUGGUUAAUACCCAUCAGGAAAGACAUCACUCACAGAAGAAGCACCGGCUAACUCCGUGCCAGCAGCCGCGGUAAUACGGAGGGUGCGAGCGUUAAUCGGAAUUACUGGGCGUAAAGCGCGCGUAGGUGGCUUGAUAAGCCGGUUGUGAAAGCCCCGGGCUCAACCUGGGAACGGCAUCCGGAACUGUCAAGCUAGAGUGCAGGAGAGGAAGGUAGAAUUCCCGGUGUAGCGGUGAAAUGCGUAGAGAUCGGGAGGAAUACCAGUGGCGAAGGCGGCCUUCUGGACUGACACUGACACUGAGGUGCGAAAGCGUGGGUAGCAAACAGGAUUAGAUACCCGUGUAGUC
rnacentral:rRNA from 1 species